rnacentral:rRNA from 1 species
GACGAACCGAGCGAACGUUGUUCGGAAUCACCGGGCUUAAAGGGCGCGUAGGCGGGCUGUCAAGUCUGGGGUGAAAUCCCGCGGCUCAACCGCGGAACUGCCUCAGAUACUGACGGUCUCGAGGGGAUAGGGCGAGCGGAACUGUGAGUGGAGCGGUGAAAUGCGUUGAUAUUCACAGGAACUCCGGUGGCGAAGGCGGCUCGCUGGAUCUACUUCUGACGCUGAGGCGCGAAAGCUAGGGGAGCAACGG